rnacentral:rRNA from 1 species
GUUUCAGCCGCCGCGGUAAUACGUAGGCAGCAAGCGUUGUUCGGAGUUACUGGGCGUAAAGAGUGCGUAGGCGGUCCUGUAAGUUUGGUGUGAAAUCUCCCGGCUCAACUGGGAGGGUGCGCCGAAGACUGCAGGGCUUGAGUAUGGGAGAGGUAAGCGGAAUUCCUGGUGUAGCGGUGAAAUGCGUAGAUAUCAGGAGGAACACCUGUGGUGUAGACAGCUUACUGGACCAUAACUGACGCUGAGGCACGAAAGCGUGGGUAGCAAACAGGAUUAGAUACCCCCGUAGUCC